UACGAAGGGUGCAAACGUUGCUCGGAAUUAUUGGGCGUAAAGCGCACGUAGGCGGCUCCGCAAGUCGGAUGUGAAAGCCUUCGGCUUAACCGAAGAAGUGCAUCCGAAACUGCAGAGCUUGAGUACUUAAGAGGAUCGCGGAAUUCCCGGUGUAGAGGUGAAAUUCGUAGAUAUCGGGAGGAACACCAGUGGCGAAGGCGGCGAUCUGGGAAGAUACUGACGCUGAGGUGCGAAAGCGUGGGGAGCAAACAGG
rnacentral:rRNA from 1 species